AAUAAAUGGAAAUCUUAACGCUAUAACAUGGAGGGAUUUUAGAAUUUGUGGCAAUGGAUUGGAGCCUUUUCUUUCCCCCGUUUUCCUUUCCAAUAUGACAAAGGUCCAAAGUCUUGUGGUGUGUAGGUGUCCGCAUCAAAUUUCCCCCUUUUCACUGCGGUUAUUGCAAUUGUGGGUGCCUGUCACAAUCACGUCGUCCGUCAUGAAUUCAAGAAAAGGUUAAGUAUGCUUCAUAUUAUAAUAAGUUCACUUAAAGAAAAAAUUUGACAUUUUAAGUGAUUCAUUUAUUUGCUUUGUGGUGAAGAUUUAAGUGGGGCAGCCUUUGCUCUCUGGAAACAGAAAUUCAGCUAACUUUAGUUUUCUCAUAUGUUUUCAGCAGAACCAGGCAUAGGGUCACCUUAUCCAGCCAUAACUCUGAGCUACAUCAUAAAGGAAAGUUUGAAGCCUAAUCUUAAAAGUAGAGAGAGUGUUUUUCUCCCCAUCAGAGUUUGGUGGAUUUUGUUUGUUUCCUUUCCAUUUUGAUUGUCUGUCCCAUCCAUCUUUGGUUUGAUUUCCAUGUAGUUUCCAAGUUUGAACAGUUUUUCUGCUCGUCCACUUGUGGUUUUCUGUGUUUAUGCCCUGUGUUUGCUGCAAGCUCCAGUGCCAAGGUUCCUCAUCCCUACUUUGGUUGUCUUGUGGUACACCUCACUGAGUUCUGUGUUUUCUUGGACUCCUUGCCUCCCUGCCACUUUGCCCUGCAUUUGGGUAAUCCUUUGAACUCUAACAUGUCACUUUUUUACAAAUCUUCUGCAUUUGCAGUAACACUCUGUGUCUCUCCGAGCACAGGCAAGAGUCUGAUUGGUAUCAUAUAUGUUACUAGAAAGUGUUUUGAUUGUAGAUUAGACAGCAUUUGGAGACCUGGAGAUUUAACCUACCACUGGCUUAUUAUACCUCUGCUAAUUAAAACUUUAAGGUUAAAUAUAAUUUAAACAGGCAACCUUUAUGAAAAUCUAAACCCUACAAGGUUGUAAUGAAAGGGGAAAUUAUGUUUAGAGAGCUAAAACAUUUUUGUUCCAUGCUGUAACACGUUCAUUUCUUCUGUAAAUUUGGGAGUUUUAAUAUUUACUUACUUGUGAUGCGAGCUUUAAGUGGCCAUUAAAAGAACUGCAGUUUUUUGGCACCUAUGCACUGGUGCUUUGCCAAGAUGUGGCGAAAAUAUGCCUCAUCCCGGCUGCUUUAUCUCUUUUCUUUACCCACAGACAACAUUAAGCAACAUAAAGAUCUGUUUAAGAAAAAAUCUUUAUAGUAAAAAAUCUUCAGAGUGAGUUUAAGCCAACAAAAGAAAGACAGUUCAAGUGAAUAACAGUGAUCAAGACACCAAAGUGCCGUAACAAUAGCAGUCAAUGUGGGUUCUGUUCUGGUGCCUAACUCAAGGAAUAACCCAGUGUUGUGUCUACACAUGACAGACAAUUGAGCAAAGAACCAGUUUUAAAUUAGAUCCUUAGGUACAUUUUACAGGCAGACGGUGACAAAAACUCCUAAUUUGUUUCCCUUUCUUUAGUUGAAUCUAAAAAAAAAGGAUUUUGACAGGCAAAAAAUUGUAUUUUUGCAACAAGAAGGUGAUUCCCAAAAAACUGAAAACUUGGCAAAUGUCAGCAUCGUGUGCAAAAGACAGGAAAAGAAAUACCCCCCAAAGACCUGACACAGGACCUGAGAGACGCAUCUGGCUCUUCAGCGGACCAUUUACUGUUAAAAAAGGGUCUCAGUGGAAGGGUGGCUGUCAAGAAGCCAUUCUUAAGGAGGGGAAACGGGGAGAAAAGGCUGAGGUGUGCCAAAUUACACAAGAACUGGACUGAAAAUCAGUGAGAGAGCGAUGCAUGUUUUUGGUUCAAAUCAUCAUCGGUUUGUACACAGAAGGUCAGGGCAGAGGUGCUGCAAAUUACAAGAAAUCUGCCUAAGAGAGUUCAGGCUGUGUUGAAGAAUAAAGGUGGUCUGACCAAAUAUUGACGUUCAAG
ensembl:lncRNA